UGGACAGGUUAUUAUAUUCGACUGUAUUCACGGCGUAAAAUAGGGGAUUACACUAUUUUUAAAACGGAAAGUGAAUCAAUUAACAUAAUAGACUCCA
rnacentral:pre_miRNA from 1 species